CGCAGUUUUGUAGUUAAGGGAACACAAUACUGUGUACUUACGUCAUAUAAAAAUGGCGUCUCGGGCCUGAGGUGAGCUUAGGUGACCAUGAUUUUCAUUGGGAGGAUUGCCUGAGGACACUAAGGCAAGCCAAUGGAGGCAGGAGUGCCCAGGGGAGUGCAGACACCUGUCUUCAAAAUCAACACUAUCAAAUCUUCAUAUAAGGAAUGACCCAGAUGAUUAUAUAAAUCUACAUUUAAUUUUCAUUAGAAUUAUCCUAGGUAGUGCUUGAACUUUAAAUCCUGUAGAGUAGAAGCAAAUCUGUGUUUGCAAUAGAAAUUGCCAGAAGAAAGAACAAGGAAGACAUUUAGAUAAUUUCAUCUGGGUGUGCAAAGUCAUCACAAGAUCCAUCUUUCCAUUAUCUGGAAGUUGGGAGCCACCUGUUUUUCAUGACGGUCUGACGGUUGGAAUGAGAAGCUGUAAGUUUAAUUAAGUUACUCGUGUGGGAGGAACGCGCUUUGCAGCAGCAGUUAGAUUAUUAAUGGACUCCUAUAUUGAAGUGUUCACAUUUUUGAAAGGCUAAUUACAAUAUAAUUUUAGGUUUAAAAUAUUGCUUUGCCAAGGGUAGAAGUUGUGUCAUGUAUUAUUAAGUGGUACUUUACUUUUUCAGUCUUGAGGGAAAUAUGGGUUUGGUUAUGGUAAUCUUUAAUAUCCAGUUAUUUCCCUCACUUCCCCACUUGACGCUUCUAACUCCUGGAAAAGGAAAAUACGCUCCGUGGCUGUCAAGUACCAAAAAGUUACACUGGAGUUAUCUUGGAUUCUUCUGAUUUUUUUAAAUAAAGAAAGCCAACCUGCUUAUAGGUUGAGUAAACUCAGUU